rnacentral:rRNA from 1 species
ACUCCUACGGGAGGCAGCAGUGGGGAAUAUUGGACAAUGGGGGAAACCCUGAUCCAGCCAUGCCGCGUGUGUGAAGAAGGCCUUCGGGUUGUAAAGCACUUUCAGUGGGGAGGAAAGGUUGAUGGUUAAUACCUAUCAGCUGUGACGUUACCCACAGAAGAAGCACCGGCUAACUCCGUGCCAGCAGCCGCGGUAAUACGGAGGAUCCGAGCGUUAUCCGGAAUCAUUGGGUUUAAAGGGUCCGUAGGUGGAUUGGUAAGUCAGAGGUGAAAGCCUGCAGCUCAACUGUAGAACUGCCUUUGAUACUGCUAGUCUUGAGUCGUUGUGAAGUGGUUAGAAUAUGUAGUGUAGCGGUGAAAUGCAUAGAUAUUACAUAGAAUACCAAUUGCGAAGGCAGAUCACUAACAACGUACUGACACUGAUGGACGAAAGCGUGGGGAGCGAACAGGAUUA